GACGAACGCUGGCGGCGUGCCUAAUACAUGCAAGUAGAACGCUGAAGGAGGAGCUUGCUUCUCUGGAUGAGUUGCGAACGGGUGAGUAACGCGUAGGUAACCUGCCUGGUAGCGGGGGAUAACUAUUGGAAACGAUAGCUAAUACCGCAUAAGAGUAGAUGUCGCAUGACAUUUGCUUAAAAGGUGCAAUUGCAUCACUACCAGAUGGACCUGCGUUGUAUUAGCUAGUUGGUGAGGUAACGGCUCACCAAGGCAACGAUACAUAGCCGACCUGAGAGGGUGAUCUGCCACACUGGGACUGAGACACGGCCCAGACUCCUACGGGAGGCAGCAGUAGGGAAUCUUCGGCAAUGGACGGAAGUCUGACCGAGCAACGCCGCGUGAGUGAAGAAGGUUUUCGGAUCGUAAAGCUCUGUUGUAAGAGAAGAACGAGUGUGAGAGUGGAAAGUUCACACUGUGACGGUAUCUUACCAGAAAGGGACGGCUAACUACGUG
rnacentral:rRNA from 1 species